rnacentral:misc_RNA from 1 species
UCCGGUUUGUCACCGGCAGUCUCUGCAGAGUCCUCGGCAUCACCCGUUAGCAACAGCAGAUAAGGGUUGCGCUCGUUGCGGGACUUAACCCAACAUCUCACGACACGAGCUGACGACAGCCAUGCAGCACCUGUGGUGCACCCUCGAAGGUCACACGUUUCCGUGCGCUUGCAGCACCAUGUCAAGCCCAGGUAAGGUUCUUCGCGUUGCAUCGAAUUAAAGAACAUGCUCCGCUGCUUGCGCGGGCCCCCGUCAAUUCUUUUGAGUUUUAGCCUUGCGGCCGUACUCCCCAGGCGGAACACUUAACGCGUUGGCUGCGGCACAGGAGGAUUCGACUCUCCCCACACCAAGUAUGCAUCGUUUAGGGCGUGGACUAC